rnacentral:misc_RNA from 1 species
GAUCAUUACCGAGUGUAGGGUUCCUAGCGAGCCCAACCUCCCACCCGUGUUUACUGUACCUUAGUUGCUUCGGCGGGCCCGCCAUUCAUGGCCGCCGGGGGCUCUCAGCCCCGGGCCCGCGCCCGCCGGAGACACCACGAACUCUGUCUGAUCUAGUGAAGUCUGAGUUGAUUGUAUCGCAAUCAGUUAAAACUUUCAACAAUGGAUCUCUUGGUUCCGGCAUCGAUGAAGAACGCAGCGAAAUGCGAUAACUAGUGUGAAUUGCAGAAUUCCGUGAAUCAUCGAGUCUUUGAACGCACAUUGCGCCCCCUGGUAUUCCGGGGGGCAUGCCUGUCCGAGCGUCAUUGCUGCCCAUCAAGCACGGCUUGUGUGUUGGGUCGUCGUCCCCUCUCCGGGGGGGACGGGCCCCAAAGGCAGCGGCGGCACCGCGUCCGAUCCUCGAGCGUAUGGGGCUUUGUCACCCGCUCUGUAGGCCCGGCCGGCGCUUGCCGAACGCAAAUCAAUCUUUUUCCAGGUUGACCUCGGAUCAGGUAGGGAUACCCGCUGAACUUAAGCAUAUC